rnacentral:tRNA from 1 species
CAAAUAUCUAGUUUAAACUAAAACAAUAAUUUGUGGAAUUAUAAAAUCUCAUAAUUC